rnacentral:sRNA from 1 species
UUUGCACCGACUAGAACGACUAAAUAUAUCGAUACUAUUGCGAGUGGUUAUAGCUCAGCUCUAAUUGACGCCAAGAAAUUUUGAUUGAUUUUGAAAAAUAUGUUAACCACAUCGGAGCUAAAGUGAACUGGUCAUAUCGGGAAACACUGUGCAAAACUUACAUUCGACGGACGGAACGGACUGACUCUGGAAAUCACAUCACAAUAAGUCAUGCCACGGGGAAAACGCCGAGCUGCAGAUACUAUUAGCGACAACAUGGAUCAUGGUCAACCGAAGAGGGCCCGAACCAGCUACACCAGCAUACCCACACAACAGAGCAGCAGGUGAGUGGAGGAAAAUAGG